rnacentral:lncRNA from 1 species
UUCGAAUAUCUAAUCUUUAAAAAUUUCAAUUUUGCUAUCCGGCCUUUUAAAUUAUUUGAUUUGAGUCAAUCAGUCAUUUUUUAACUUCAAAAUUUGAAUGCACCAUUUAUCUUUACUGAUUUGAUUAGCAUAUUUUAUUCAAUAUAUGUAACUAUAAAUUUAUUUAAAUAAACAAAUAGCUUAAAUGUUAUAUCCGAAGGGCCAUCAAAUCGCUUAAAUUAAUAAAAGGAAAAACUUCAAAAACCCCCCCUGUGGUUUCGUGCAUUCUCACUUUGCUACCCUGUGGUUUAAAACGUAUCAAUUUACCCCCCUGUGGUUUCAUUUUUAUCUUUUCGGAAGCUUUUUCGUUAAUAUUUCGUUAAAUUAUAUACAAAAAACUUCAGAUAACCAUCUAUAUUUAUCGAAUAGUCACUUUAGUAUCCUUUAAUUUUAACUUUGUCACUGAUUUUAAAAAAAAUAAUAAUAAAACUGAUAACAAAAAGAUAAAAACGAAACCAAAGGGGGGCAAAUUGAUACGUUUUAAACCACAGGGUAGCAAAGUGAGAAUGCACGAAACCACAUGGGGGGU